UACAGAGGUCUCAAGCGUUGUUCGGAUUCAUUGGGCGUAAAGGGUGUGUAGGUGGCGCCGUAAGUCAGGUGUGAAAUUUCGGAGCUUAACUCCGAAACUGCAUUUGAUACUGCGGUGCUUGAGGACUGGAGAGGAGACUGGAAUUCAUGGUGUAGCAGUGAAAUGCGUAGAGAUCAUGAGGAAGACCAGUGGCGAAGGCGGGUCUCUGGACAGUUCCUGACACUGAGGCACGAAGGCCAGGGGAGCAAACGGG
rnacentral:rRNA from 1 species